AUACGGAGGGUGCGAGCGUUAAUCGGAAUUACUGGGCGUAAAGCGUGCGUAGGCGGUUUGCUAAGUCAGAUGUGAAAGCCCCGGGCUUAACCUGGGAACUGCAUUUGAUACUGGCAGACUAGAGUAUGAUAGAGGGGGGUAGAAUUCCUGGUGUAGCGGUGAAAUGCGUAGAUAUCAGGAGGAAUACCAGUGGCGAAGGCGGCCCCCUCGAUCAAUACUGACGCUGAGGUACGAAAGCGUGGGGAGCGAACAGGAUUAGAAACCCUAGUAGUCC
rnacentral:rRNA from 1 species